rnacentral:misc_RNA from 1 species
GUGAAUCAUCAAAUUUUUGAACGCAAAUUGCACUCUCUUCGGAGAGUAUGCCUGUUUGAGGGUCAGUAUUAAUAAUAAUCGGUGUGUUGCUUCUGUGGUACGCUCCGGAUGUUGGGUCAUCUUAAUAUCCUUUAGGUUUUAAGAGGCGUAAAAUUGACUUUUUUUGCGCAUUUUAGAUGGACAUAACUUCUUUUUUUUAUUCGUCUGUCUUUAUGCUCAAAGUCCUAUUAGAUUCGACCAUAUCGUGUGGUUGCGAGUC